UGGUGUCAUCGGCUAUUCACAACGAGGCUAAUGAGAUUGAUUGUACAUUCCCUUGGUCCCUAUUCAUUCAGAUCCUUACUGUGUAUGUUGGCUAUAGUAGGUUCAAAUUCGCUGUUAGAGUAGGAUGCACCUAGAUGGAAUCUAUCGAUUUUGAUAGAAAAGGAGUAGUCCUAUAUGAUUAGCAAGACUGAGUUCAGAAAUUCUUCAACCGGAGCAAGUGUGAAUAUUGAAAAAGAGU
rnacentral:lncRNA from 1 species